CCUACGGGUGGCAGCAGUGAGGAAUAUUGGUCAAUGGGCGAGAGUCUGAACCAGCCAAGCAGCGUGAAGGAUGACUGCCCUAUGGGUUGUAAACUUCUUUUGUAUGAGAAUAAAAUGUUCCACGUGUGGGAUUUUGUAUGUACCCUAUGAAUAAGCAUCGGCUAACUCCGUGCCAGCAGCCGCGGUAAUACGGAGGAUCCGAGCGUUAUCCGGAUUUAUUGGGUUUAAAGGGUGCGUAGGUGGAUUGUUAAGUCAGUUGUGAAAGUUUGGGGCUCAACCGUAAAAUUGCAGUUGAAACUGGCAGUCGUGAGUACAGGAGAGGUGGGCGGAAUGCGUGGUGUAGCGGUGAAAUGCUUAGAUAUCACGAAGAACUCCGAUUGCGAAGGCAGCGCACUGGA
rnacentral:rRNA from 1 species